rnacentral:rRNA from 1 species
CUUGGUCAUUUAGAGGAAGUAAAAGUCGUAACAAGGUUUCCGUAGGUGAACCUGCGGAAGGAUCAUUACAGAGAAUAUGCCCUUCGGGGUAGAUCUCCCACCCAUUGCAUACAAUACCUCGUUGCCUUGGCAGGCCUGUCUUCUGACCACCGGCUUCGGCUGGUCCGUGUCUGCCAGAGGAUUGAAAAUUCAAUCUGUUCUUGUUUUCCGAGUUUAUAUUUGAAUCGUUAAAACUUUCAACAACGGAUCUCUUGGUUCUGGCAUCGAUGAAGAACGCAGCGAAAUGCGAUAAGUAAUGUGAAUUGCAGAAUUCAGUGAAUCAUCGAAUCUUUGAACGCACAUUGCGCCCGCCAGCAUUCUGGCGGGCAUGCCUGUUCGAGCGUCAUUUCAACCCUCAAGCUCUGCUUGGCGUUGGGGCCCUACGGCUGACGUAGGCCCUCAAAGGUAGUGGCGGACCCUCUCGGAGCCUCCUUUGCGUAGUAACUUACUGUCUCGCACUGGGAUCCGGAGGGGCUUCUGGCCGUAAAACCCCCAAACUUUCCAAAGGUUGACCUCGGAUCAGGUAGGAAUACCCGCUGAACUUAAGCAUAUCAAUAAGCGGAGGA